GCGGGGGUUGUCUGACUGGAAAAUAACUUUUUACCCCCCACAAACACACCGUUUGUUUGAUGUUCCACUGACAUUUGUAAAAUCCUCUUAAAAAGAAAUUGCUGACGCAGACGACAAGUUCAGAGAUUACACGUGACAGCCUUCUUGACACGAAGAACAGACAGGCGGUAUUAUCGAUCGACUUUCACCACGAAUGUGAUUUUGUAAAUAAAAGAAAUAAAAACGCCGCCAGCGCUCGUUGCCUAACAUAAUACACUGGGAAUCCCGAAUACAGCUGAGCAGGUAGUAGGUCUUCUUCGUCGACAGCGAGCAGACGAUACAACAUCGACGACAGACGGUCUUUUAGUAUGAAUGAGGACAAGUCGAUCAAACUUCCAUUACGUGUGUGAUUUAAAAAAAAAAAAAGUACAACUCUAGCAGUCGUUGCCUAACAUAAUACAAUGGAGUUGACGGACUGAGUACAGGGAACCCGGUAGCAGCUCUACUUCGUAGCCAGCGAGCAGACGAUCCAACAUGGACGACAGAGGUUCCAAAGUGGGUAACGGCAAGUCGAUCAAACUUCAGACGUCUAUUACCCUGUUCUCAGCUACAGCGCUUCUUCUGUCGAACACCGGCGGAGGGAGCAUUUUCAUAGCCUCUACGUCUAUGCUCAUUUACGGCGGUUCUCCGGGCGUCGCCUUGAUUUUCUGGCUUGUCGGAGGAUUGCUCAACUUCGGCCUGGCUUUCUGUUAUAUAGAGGUUGCCCUCUUGUUACCUAAAAGUGGCGGAGCUUAUUACUACGUCAAGGAAGUGUUCGGAGCGUUCCCGGCGUUUGUGUUGUUGUGGGGUUUCGUCCUCACUAUCUGCGCACCUGCCUGGGCACUGUCCUGCUACACAGCCGCACUGUACGUCAUCACGAUGUUAUUCCCAGAGUGUCCUCCGCCAGACGUGGCCACGAAGGUGCUAGCAGCAUGGUUUAUGGUGACGAUGAUUGUUUUGAACUGUCUGUAUAUGAAGUACGUCAUCAGAGUCCAGGCACUGCUCAGUGCUGGGAAGAUGAUCGCCAUGCUCAUCAUAAUCGCGGCAUGUUUCACUGCUAUUGGAUCAAGCUCGAGUGUAGAUAACAUAAACGCCAUGUUUCGCGGUUCUACUACCGAUCCUGGAAAUAUCGCCCUGGGUUUGGCAUCGGGCUACUUCGCAUUUGGUGGUUGGCAAAUGAUAACAAUUAUAAUAGAGGAAGUGGAAAAUCCAUUGGUAAAUGUGCCUCGAGCCUUGUAAUACAUUCACCACUCUGAUAUUACUGAGUGUGGUCGUUAACCUCUGCUACUUCAUCGUCCUUCCUGCACGAGAUGUCCUCCUGUCAGACGCCGUGGCUGUGCUCUAUGUCUACCGUAUCCACCCGGCUUUGGCGGUGGUUAUAUCGGUACUGGUCACCACCUGUUCUGUUAGCGUGCUCAACAGUCUCAUUCUGGGACAGCCGAG